rnacentral:rRNA from 1 species
AUUGAACGCUGGCGGCAGGCCUAACACAUGCAAGUCGAACGAGUGGCGGACGGGUGAGUGAUGGCUGGGAAACUGCCUGAUGGAGGGAGAUAACUAGUGGAAACGGUAGCUACUACCGCAUACCAUCAGAUGGGCCCAGAUGGGAUUAGCUUGUUGGUGGGGUAACGGCUCACCAAGGCGACGAUCCCUAGCUGGUCUGAGAGGAGGACCGGCCACACUGGGACUGAGACACGGCCCAGACUCCUACGGGAGGCAGCAGUGGGGAAUAUUGGACAAUGGGCGAAAGCCUGAUGCAGCCAUGCCGCGUGUAUGAAGAAGGCCUUCGGGUUGUAAAGUCCUUUUAGCGGGGAGGCGUUACCUGCCGAAGAAGCACCGGCUAACUACGUGCCAGCAGCCGCGGUAAUUC